CACGUAGGGUGCGAGCGUUGUCCGGAAUUAUUGGGCGUAAAGAGCUCGUAGGCGGUGUGUCGCGUCGGCCGUGAAAACCUGCAGCUUAACUGUGGGCGUGCGGUCGAUACGGGCAUCACUGGAGUUCGGCAGGGGAGACUGGAAUUCCUGGUGUAGCGGUGAAAUGCGCAGAUAUCAGGAGGAACACCGGUGGCGAAGGCGGGUCUCUGGGCCGAUACUGACACUGAGAGACGAAAGCUAGGGGAGCGAAUGGG
rnacentral:rRNA from 1 species